rnacentral:sRNA from 1 species
CCUGGUCUUCCUCAAAGAUCAACAAGAUGCCGAAUACCUAGUAGUAUUUUGUGUUAGGUGGCAGACCUUCUUUCUAGUCUUCUUCCUAUAAAUACUGUCAGCCACUAUUUAGUCAUGGACAGACAAGCAAUGUGUCACUGCAGAGACGAACAAACUGUUGUUCAAAGUUUUUAACUACUUCGGUUUCAAAUUCAAUCCAGCUACGUCCCUCCUUUCCAAUGUUCAAAAAGCAAUUGAUCACUUCUUAACACUCCUUUGGCAUUUGUUUUUGUGUAUAAUUUUUCCCUCACCAGAUCUCUCUUUUGGUACCUUUCAAAAUAUUUGGGCGGUUAGCAGCACGUUUUGAACAGAAAAUGAGAGUAUCGCCCACGUUAUUUCUCGUCAAACAGGAGAUUGGACAACCUGGGAGCUAACCCCAUGAAGCCUACCAGUUUAUCGCAGUGAUUGUCACCGACUUCCCACUGCAGGCACUCUAUUGCAAACCACGAAGCAUACAACGCAUGCAGAUUCGGAAAAAAUGUCGUUAUGAGCUAUGAAUUAAACAGCACAUUCCGAGGCAGCGGAGUCUCCUGAAACAACCACAGCUGGUGAGUCAACGGCAACUUUCCAAACAUCCUGGAGGCUACCACCAAGUUCUGCAGCGAAAACAGGGGUAAAGAUCCCCGAACCCAGGCGUAUCCGCCGCUGAAGGCUGUCAGUCUCAAGACUCCCGAGGUUCGCCCGUUCAAAGUGAACAUGUACUGUAUAUUCAGGCACCAACCAUAAACGUCACAACUCUGGGACAGCGAGGAGUGUAUCCAGUUAUCCUGGAAUAUUGUAGAGGAGUGCGAGAACUCUCGAGGGACACGAUGUGGGCCAUCUCAAGGGUGGAGCGACGAACACAGAGCCUUAUCGUGUGGACUGCGGGGAUCGACUUUGACAAUUCAAGCUGCCCGCAAUUCAAAGAGUGCAUUGUAGGGUGGAUUGGUGUCAAGUCUUGGGGGCAUAGUUUUGAUUUGGGAUACUUUUGUUUGGUUUGAGGGUGCUUCCUGAGGCAGGAUAUUCCGAAUAGCAAAGUUGAUUUAAUCUUCGGUUUUCUUUGAGUGUUGUUUGUUGUCCUAGCUGUCA